UACGUAGGGUGCGAGCGUUGUCCGGAGUUACUGGGCGUAAAGCGCAUGCAGGCGGCUCAUUACGCAUGGCGUGAAAGCCCCCGGCUCAACCGGGGAGGGUCGUCGUGAACGGGUGAGCUUGAGGGUAUCAGGGGCUGGUGGAAUUCCCGGUGUAGUGGUGAAAUGCGUAGAGAUCGGGAGGAACACCUGUGGCGAAGGCGGCCAGCUGGGAUACACCUGACGCUGAGAUGCGAAGGCGUGGGGAGCGAACGGG
rnacentral:rRNA from 1 species